rnacentral:rRNA from 1 species
GACGAACGCUGGCGGCGUGCUUAACACAUGCAAGUCGAACGGAAAGGCCUCUUUCGGGGGGUACUCGAGUGGCGAACGGGUGAGUAACACGUGAGUAACCUGGCCUUGACUUUGGGAUAACUUCAGGAAACUGGGGCUAAUACCGGAUAGGAGCUCCUGCUGCAUGGUGGGGGUUGGAAAGUUUCGGCGGUUGGGGAUGGACUCGCGGCUUAUCAGCUUGUUGGUGGGGUAGUGGCUUACCAAGGCUUUGACGGGUAGCCGGCCUGAGAGGGUGACCGGCCACAUUGGGACUGAGAUACGGCCCAGACUCCUACGGGAGGCAGCAGUGGGGAAUAUUGCACAAUGGGUGGAAGCCUGAUGCAGCAACGCCGUGUGCGGGAUGACGGCCUUCGGGUUGUAAACCGCUUUCGCUCAUGACGAAGCUUUGUGUGACGGUAGUGGGUAAAGAAGCACCGGCUAACUACGUG